UGGGGAAUAUUGGACAAUGGGCGCAAGCCUGAUCCAGCCAUGCCGCGUGAGUGAUGAAGGCCCUAGGGUUGUAAAGCUCUUUCACCGGUGAAGAUAAUGACGGUAACCGGAGAAGAAGCCCCGGCUAACUUCGUGCCAGCAGCCGCGGUAAUACGAAGGGGGCUAGCGUUGGUCGGAUUUACUGGGCGUAAAGCGCACGUAGGCGGACUUUUAAGUCAGGGGUGAAAUCCCGGGGCUCAACCCCGGAACUGGCUUUGAUACUGGAAGUCUUGAGGAUGGUAGAAGUGAGGGGAAUUUCGAGGGGAGAGGUGAAAUUCGGAGGUAUUCGGAGGAACACCAGUGGCGGAGGCGGCGCACUGGACCAAUAAUGACGCUGGGGUGCGAAAGGGGGGGGAGCAAACAGG
rnacentral:rRNA from 1 species